GGUGGCUCAGUGGUAGAGUACUUGUCUUGCACUCAUGAGGCCCUAGGUUCGAUUCCUCAGCACCA
rnacentral:tRNA from 1 species